rnacentral:lncRNA from 1 species
AAAAACCACAUCGUAUUAACCAUUAGCCCAAACACUUCCCCACCACGUUCAAAAUGUUUAUGUGAGUUAUAAGAUCUAUGUCGAUUCUAAGUUUGGGGUUGUUGUUGGGAUAAUAACCUUUAAGUUUAGGGUAGCUGCGCAGCGUUAGUACGAAUUCGGGUACCUGAUGAUUGAAAAAAAAAAGAGAAGAAAAAUAAAAUAUGAAAGUUGGAAAAAUCAAAUUGAAAAAACAAAAGAAGAAUAAUCAUCAAGGCACUCGAAAGAAGGAGAAGUCAGCGGAUAUCAAAAAUAAAGACAAAUCCAAAAGUUGAAUCCUCAAUAAUAGUUUAUCCUAAAGGGCGAGUUCCAGAAAGAAUUCCAGCACUAAUCCAUCAAAAUGAGCAUA